UUUCUUUAGCAGACGGUAUAAAGAGAAAAAGGAAGAAGUGGCAGAGACGGAGGUUGAUCCUGAACGAGAUCAGCGGAUGCUGCCACCAGAAGUUUCGUGCUUCUUGGGCUACUCACUGUGGGGCUAUAACGUAAUAUGUGAUGGUAUAUUACGUUUGAUGGUGAACUAAUUAUUUGUGUUGAGUAUUUCUAAUACCGUUGAAUUACAGUUCUAGUUCUGAGAUGUACGCCUUAUAAUGGACCGCAAUUCAAGUCAUUCCAAGAGAGUUGGUUAUAUUGAAUUUUUUGAUGCAAUGCCAGUCCCUAUGGCAAUAGCACUCUCUAGCCAGCCUCUUCUUGGUUAGCCAGUAAUGGUUAAACCAUCAGAAGCUGAAAAAAAUCUGGUUCAGUCUACUACAGCUACAGCUGGGGCUGUAGGUGGGCUCAUAGGCCCCUAUUUGGGGGGGGAGCUAGAAGAGUAUGUUCCUUUCUAUUGAGGUAAGAAACAUCUUCUAUUCCUUUCUUAUGCUUUUUCUUAUACAUGGCUGUGUUGCUGCAACAUUGUGUCCUUGCUGCCCAGGUGAAGAAACCACACUGGUUGUCUUACCCAUGUGCUGCCACUGUCCAUGUGACAUGACCAUAAAGAAAGGAUUGGUUUUCCCUCAGCUGAUGAUUUUUCUUUAGUUUUUCAUGUAUGAAUGUCUAAGUUGAUUGGUUUACUUUUUGGGUUGAAAAUUUUGCCCUAAAUCUGGAUGCUUUUAACAUAAUGCAUCUGACCUUUCUCAAUGAUAAAAGUGUUUUUUUUUUUUUUUUUCUUUUCUUCUUCUUCUUCUUUUUUUUAAUCUUUUCU